rnacentral:rRNA from 1 species
GACGAACGCUGGCGGCGUGCUUAACACAUGCAAGUCGAACGGAAAGGCCCUGCUUUUGUGGGGUGCUCGAGUGGCGAACGGGUGAGUAACACGUGAGUAACCUGCCCUUGACUUUGGGAUAACUUCAGGAAACUGGGGCUAAUACCGGAUAGGAGCUCCUGCUGCAUGGUGGGGGUUGGAAAGUUUCGGCGGUUGGGGAUGGACUCGCGGCUUAUCAGCUUGUUGGUGGGGUAGUGGCUUACCAAGGCUUUGACGGGUAGCCGGCCUGAGAGGGUGACCGGCCACAUCGGGACUGAGAUACGGCCCAGACUCGAAUGGGAGGCAGCAGUGGGGAGUAUAGCACAAUGGGAGGGAGCCAGAUGCAGCAACGCCGCGUGCGGGAUGACGGGCUGCGGGUUGUAAACCGAUGUCGCCUGUGACGAGGCGUGAGUGACGGUAAUGGGUAAAGAAGCACCGGCUAACUACGUG